UCACCCGAGCUCGGGUACUGUUCACCCGACCCAAAAAACUUCUCCGGCCGAUUUCUCCACCAUCCGACGUCGCCUCGUGUCGUGCCACCUAUCAAACUGACGGGCUCGACGAGCUCCAUCUUUGGGGCUAUGCCUUGCACUCCGGCGAAACCACACACGGUGUAGCAACCGCCGGAAGUUACUGUUGUGGCGGCGCCGCCUCCUCCGGCCACCAUGGCUCGAGAUUCUUGGGGGGUUUUGCUUGUCUCAGUCCCAGCAACAUUCCCACAAAAGGAAUCGAGCCAAAUCGAAGUGUGACUGACGAAACGAGUGAGGAAAUUACUUUCAGGGUCGUGGAAGUUGCACGCAGGAAAGAAGUGGAUAACUCCGCAGGUGUGGAUUAGCGGGAAUUGACGGACCGCUCAGAGGACUUGAAGUUAUUUAUCUCCAGCUUGUGUGAGGAUUUUGUG